rnacentral:rRNA from 1 species
UACGUAGGGGGCGAGCGUUGUCCGGAAUUAUUGGGCGUAAAGGGCUCGUAGGCGGCUUAGUAAGUCGGCGGUGAAAUACCGAGGCUCAACCUCGGCACUGCCGUCGAUACUGCUAUGGCUAGAGUUUGGUAGAGGAGAACGGAGUUCCCGGUGUAGCGGUGGAAUGCGCAGAUAUCAGGAAGAACACCAAUGGCGAAGGCAGCUCUCUGGGACGGUACUGACGCUGAGGCGCGAAAGCGUGGGGAGCGAACAGG